rnacentral:misc_RNA from 1 species
AAGUCGUAACAAGGUUUCCGUAGGUGAACCUGCGGAAGGAUCAUUAGUGAUUGGCCUCCGGGCUUUCAUAUCCACACACCCCUGUGAACCUGUCGGCCCUCGGGCCGCUUCGUUUUUCAAAACAUUGGAUGUAACGAACGAUGAAUAAUCAUAGCAUAAGAAAA